UGGGUCUUUCGGCAGGGCCUAACACAUGCAAGUCGAACGGUAACAGGGAAAAGCUUGCUUUUCCGCUGACGAGUGGCGCACGGGUGCGUAACGCGUAUACAAUCUACCUCUUACAGGGGGAUAGCCUUUAGAAAUGAAGAUUAAUACCCCAUGGCAUUAUAAACCGGCAUCGGUUUAUAAUUAAAGUUUCGGCGGUAGGAGAUGAGUAUGCGUUCUAUUAGCUAGUAGGUGUGGUAACGGCACACCUAGGCAACGAUAGAUAGGGGCCCUGAGAGGGGGAUCCCCCACACUGGUACUGAGACACGGACCAGACUCCUACGGGAGGCAGCAGUGAGGAAUAUUGGACAAUGGGCGGAAGCCUGAUCCAGCCAUGCCGCGUGCAGGAAGACUGCCCUAUGGGUUGUAAACUGCUUUUGUACAGGAAGAAACCUUUCCACGUGUGGAGAGCUGACGGUACUGUAAGAAUAAGCAUCGGCUAACUCCGUGCCAGCAGCCGCGGUAAUACGGAGGAUGCAAGCGUUAUCCGGAAUCAUUGGGUUUAAAGGGUCCGUAGGUGGAUUGGUCAGUCAGAGGUGAAAUCCUGCAGCUCAACUGUAGAACUGCCUUUGAUACUGCCGGUCUUGAAUUAUUGUGAAGUGGUUAGAAUAUGUAGUGUAGCGGUGAAAUGCAUAGAUAUUACAUAGAAUACCGAUUGCGAAGGCAGAUCACUAACAAUAUAUUGACACUGAUGGACGAAAGCGUGGGGAGCGAACGGGAUUAGAUACCCCGGUAGUCCACGCCGUAAACGAUGGUCACUAGCUGUUCGGACUUCGGUCUGAGUGGCUAAGCGAAAGUGAUAAGUGACCCACCUGGGGAGUACGUUCGCAAGAAUGAAACUCAAAGGAAUUGACGGGGGCCCGCACAAGCGGUGGAGCAUGUGGGUUUAAUUCGAUGAUACGCGAGGGAACCUUACCAGGGCUUAAAUGUAAGUUGCAUUAGUUAGAGAUAGCUAUUUCUUCGGACUACUUACAAGUGCUGCAUGGUUGUCGUCAGCUCGUGCCGUGAGUGUCAGGUUAAGUCCUAUAACGAGGCGCAACCCCUGUGUAGUGCCAUCGAAGUCAUGUCGGCACUCUAACAAGACUGCCGUGCAACGUGAGAGUGGAUGACGUCCAAUCAUCACGUCUACGUCCUGGGCCUACACACUGCUACAUGUAGACCGAGCAGCACUGGCACAGGGAGCUAAUUCCUA
rnacentral:rRNA from 1 species